GACGAACGCUGGCGGCGUGCUUAACACAUGCAAGUCGAACGGUAAGGCCCUUCGGGGUACACGAGUGGCGAACGGGUGAGUAACACGUGGGUGAUCUGCCCUGCACUUCGGGAUAAGCCUGGGAAACUGGGUCUAAUACCGGAUAGGACCACUGCCUGCAUGGGUGGUGGUGGAAAGCUUUUGCGGUGUGGGAUGGGCCCGCGGCCUAUCAGCUUGUUGGUGGGGUGAUGGCCUACCAAGGCGACGACGGGUAGCCGGCCUGAGAGGGUGACCGGCCACACUGGGACUGAGAUAAGGCCCAGACGCCUACGGGAGGCAGCAGUGGGGAAUAUUGCACAAUGGGCGCAAGCCUGAUGCAGCGACGCCGCGUGAGGGAUGACGGCCUUCGGGUUGUAAACCUCUUUCAGCACCGACGAAGCGCAAGUGACAGUAGGUGCAGAAGAAGGACCGGCCAACUACGUGCCAGCCGCCGCAGAAA
rnacentral:rRNA from 1 species